GAUGGUUUCUCUUAUAAAUAAUAAGAAGACCUCAACAAGGAGAAAGAAAGGUAAAAUCCUAAAACUCCUGCACCCAAGUAGGCAGUCUUCAUACGGAUUCUCACAACUGAAUAUUGGUUGACUCAGCCAUUCUUUAAAUUCUCUUCUUGACCAUUCAUUUCCCCGGCUCUUCCUUAACUCUCCUUUUGCUUUUGCUCACAAAGAAACAACAAUUACCAGCUUAAACAACUUUUCCCCUCAGUUCCCUCCCAACUUCUCCAACCACAAGAUGAGAUGCCCAUCCAUUAGCUUCCACAAACAAAAUAAUAUGCU
rnacentral:misc_RNA from 1 species